CAGCAGCCGCGGUAAACGUAGGAGGCGAGCGUUAUCCGGAAUUACUGGGCGUGAAGAGCUCGUAGGCGGCCUAUUAAGUCAGGUGUGAAAUCUCCCGGCUCAACUGGGAGGGGACAUUUGAAACUGGUAGGCUUGAGGGCAGCAGAGGGAAGUGGAAUUCCCGGU
rnacentral:rRNA from 1 species